rnacentral:rRNA from 1 species
AACGAACGCUGGCGGCAGGCCUAACACAUGCAAGUCGAACGCCCUGGCAACAGGGAGUGGCAGACGGGUGAGUAACGCGUGGGAACGUGCCCUCCGGUUCGGAAUAACUCAGGGAAACUUGAGCUAAUACCGGAUACGUGCGAGAGCAGAAAGAUUUAUCGCCGAAGGAUCGGCCCGCGUCCGAUUAGCUAGUUGGUGAGGUAACGGCUCACCAAGGCGACGAUCGGUAGCUGGUCUGAGAGGAUGAUCAGCCACACUGGGACUGAGACACGGCCCAGACUCCUACGGGAGGCAGCAGUGGGGAAUAUUGGACAAUGGGCGCAAGCCUGACCCAGCCAUGCCGCGUGAGUGAUGAAGGCCCUAGGGUUGUAAAGCUCUUUCGCCAGGGACGAUAAUGACGGUACCUGGAUAAGAAGCCCCGGCUAACUUCGUGCCAGCCGCCGCAGUAA